rnacentral:lncRNA from 1 species
AGAGGGCUCUAGCUUCUAAUUCAGGGUUUUUAUUUGACUAAACAGGCCCUGAGAAGGACUCGGGAAAAGCAAUGACUUCAUUCAAACACACAGGGGGCAAGACUGAGAAGACUAUGUGAUUGAUCAGAGUUUUUCCAGAUGAUGCAGUGGCCCCAGGGACCCAGAAACCCGACCAUCUCUAUACGACCAGAUGUUGCAAAGAUCUUCCAUACAGUGCCCACUACCCAGGAUGGUCUUCCCAUCUUGAUGACACCAGCCUGUCCUCGACUUGCAUUCCUUAAGAGCUCAUUAAGGUAGUAGUUACCUAGUCUAUGUUCCAGAGGAAAAGUCAGAACAUAUUUUCCCACUAGAGAACACAUUCAUAAUUUAACAAUAAUUUUUCUGUAUCUGGAUAAUUUUUUCAUUUUAUGGACCUGAAGGAUAGAUGCUGCAUGGGCUUUUAGUCAAAAAGGUUUGAGUGCAGAUAGUUCUCGAUGACUCAGUGGGUUGAGGAUCCAGAGUUGUCACUGAAGCAGCUCAGGUCACUGCUAUGGCACUGGUUAGAUCCCUGGUCCUGGAGCUCCCACCUGCUGCAGGUGUGACCAAAAAAAAAAAAAAAAAAAAAAUCCUAGUUCUGCUGUUGACUAGUUGAGUGGACUUCAAGUAAUUAGCCUCUCUGAACCUCAGAAUAGAAGGGCUAAUUAAAAUCAUGGUCCCAGAGCUAUCUCAAGAAUAUGAAGACAUCAUGCAUUUAAGACACUUGAGCUCCAGAUAAACGUCAACAAAGGUUACUUCUCUCCUCUCCCCCUUUCUUUCUGUCUAGUACAGACUUUGAAGACUGGCUUAGGAAGGGUGGGUGGAGGGGGAGGUGAACUGUAAAUGCCUCUUUACACUGCAGUGGUUUCUCUAUAAUCCUGAGUUUUUCUUGAGCCAAAGAAAUAGAAUAGGAAGAAAUGAAGGAAUAGAAAGCACAGGAGUUCCCAUCGUGGCUCAGUGGAAACGAAUCUGACUAGCAUCCAUGAGGACGUAGGUUCCAUCCCUGGCCUCGCUUAGUAGGUUAAAGAUCUAGCAUUGAAGUGAGCUGUGGUGUUGGUCACAGACAUGGUGCGGAUCUGAUGUGGCUGUGGCUGUGGUGGAGG